rnacentral:rRNA from 1 species
CGGGGUGCAGCAGGCGCGAAAACUUUACAAUGCGGGAAACCGUGAUAAGGGGACACCGAGUGCCAGCAUCCUAUGCUGGCUGUCCGGGUGUGUAAAAUACACCUGUUAGCAAGGGCCGGGCAAGACCGGUGCCAGCCGCCGCGGUAACACCGGCGGCCCGAGUGGUGAUCGUGAUUAUUGGGUCUAAAGGGUCCGUAGCCGGUUUGGUCAGUCCUCCGGGAAAUCUGACAGCUUAACUGUUAGGCUUUCGGAGGAUACUGCCAGACUUGGAACCGGGAGAGGUAAGAGGUACUACAGGGGUAGGAGUGAAAUCUUGUAAUCCCUGUGGGACCACCUGUGGCGAAGGCGUCUUACCAGAACGGGUUCGACGGUGAGGGACGAAAGCUGGGGGCACGAACCGGAUUAGAUACCCGGGUAGUCCCAGCCGUAAACGAUGCUCGCUAGGUGUCAGGCAUGGCGCGACCGUGUCUGGUGCCGCAGGGAAGCCGUGAAGCGAGCCACCUGGGAAGUACGGCCGCAAGGCUGAAACUUAAAGGAAUUGGCGGGGGAGCACAAGGGCGAAUUCGCG